UUAAGCGACUAAGCGUACACGGUGGAUGCCCUGGCAGUCAGAGGCGAUGAAGGACGUGCUAAUCUGCGAAAAGCGUCGGUAAGGUGAUAUGAACCGUUAUAACCGGCGAUGUCCGAAUGGGGAAACCCAGUGUGAUUCGUCACACUAUCGUUAACUGAAUACAUAGGUUAACGAGGCGAACCGGGGGAACUGAAACAUCUAAGUACCCCGAGGAAAAGAAAUCAACCGAGAUUCCCCCAGUAGCGGCGAGCGAACGGGGAGCAGCCCAGAGUCUGAAUCAGCUUGUGUGUUAGUGGAACGGUCUGGAAAGUCCGACGGUACAGGGUGAUAGUCCCGUACACCAAAAUGCACAGGUUGUGAACUCGAAGAGUAGGGCGGGACACGUGGUAUCCUGUCUGAAUAUGGGGGGACCAUCCUCCAAGGCUAAAUACUCCUGACUGACCGAUAGUGAACCAGUACCGUGAGGGAAAGGCGAAAAGAACCCCGGCGAGGGGAGUGAAAAAGAACCUGAAACCGUGUACGUACAAGCAGUGGGAGCACCUUUAUGGUGUGACUGCGUACCUUUUGUAUAAUGGGUCAGCGACUUAUAUUCUGUAGCAAGGUUAACCGUAUAGGGGAGCCGCAGGGAAACCGAGUCUUAACUGGGCGUUAAGUUGCAGGGUAUAGACCCGAAACCCGGUGAUCUAGCCAUGGGCAGGUUGAAGGUUGGGUAACACUAACUGGAGGACCGAACCGACUAAUGUUGAAAAAUUAGCGGAUGACUUGUGGCUGGGGGUGAAAGGCCAAUCAAACCGGGAGAUAGCUGGUUCUCCCCGAAAGCUAUUUAGGUAGCGCCUCGUGAACUCAUCUUCCUAACUGGAGGACCGAACCGACUAAUGUUGAAAAAUUACUUACCAACCCGAUGCAAACUACGAAUACCGAAGAAUGUUAUCACGGGAGACACACGGCGGGUGCUAACGUCCGUCGUGAAGAGGGAAACAACCCAGACCGCCAGCUAAGGUCCCAAAGUCAUGGUUAAGUGGGAAACGAUGUGGGAAGGCACAGACAGCCAGGAUGUUGGCUUAGAAGCAGCCAUCAUUUAAAGAAAGCGUAAUAGCUCACUGGUCGAGUCGGCCUGCGCGGAAGAUGUAACGGGGCUAAACCAUGCACCGAAGCUGCGGCAGCGACACUAUGUGUUGUUGGGUAGGGGAGCGUUCUGUAAGCCUGCGAAGGUGACCUGUGAGGGUUGCUGGAGGUAUCAGAAGUGCGAAUGCUGACAUAAGUAACGAUAAAGCGGGUGAAAAGCCCGCUCGCCGGAAGACCAAGGGUUCCUGUCCAACGUUAAUCGGGGCAGGGUGAGUCGACCCCUAAGGCGAGGCCGAAAGGCGUAGUCGAUGGGAAACAGGUUAAUAUUCCUGUACUUGGUGUUACUGCGAAGGGGGGACGGAGAAGGCUAUGUUAGCCGGGCGACGGUUGUCCCGGUUUAAGCAUGUAGGCUGGUUAUCCAGGCAAAUCCGGAUAAUCAAGGCUGAGGUGUGAUGACGAGGCACUACGGUGCUGAAGUAACAAAUGCCCUGCUUCCAGGAAAAGCCUCUAAGCAUCAGGUAACAUCAAAUCGUACCCCAAACCGACACAGGUGGUCAGGUAGAGAAUACCAAGGCGCUUGAGAGAACUCGGGUGAAGGAACUAGGCAAAAUGGUGCCGUAACUUCGGGAGAAGGCACGCUGGUGUGUAGGUGAAGUCCCUGCGGAUGGAGCUGAGACCAGUCGAAGAUACCAGCUGGCUGCAACUGUUUAUUAAAAACACAGCACUGUGCAAACACGAAAGUGGACGUAUACGGUGUGACGCCUGCCCGGUGCCGGAAGGUUAAUUGAUGGGGUUAUCCGUAAGGAGAAGCUCUUGAUCGAAGCCCCGGUAAACGGCGGCCGUAACUAUAACGGUCCUAAGGUAGCGAAAUUCCUUGUCGGGUAAGUUCCGACCUGCACGAAUGGCGUAAUGAUGGCCAGGCUGUCUCCACCCGAGACUCAGUGAAAUUGAACUCGCUGUGAAGAUGCAGUGUACCCGCGGCAAGACGGAAAGACCCCGUGAACCUUUACUAUAGCUUGACACUGAACAUUGAGCCUUGAUGUGUAGGAUAGGUGGGAGGCUUUGAAGCGUGGACGCCAGUCUGCGUGGAGCCAACCUUGAAAUACCACCCUUUAAUGUUUGAUGUUCUAACGUAGGCCCCUUAUCGGGGUUGCGGACAGUGUCUGGUGGGUAGUUUGACUGGGGCGGUCUCCUCCCAAAGCGUAACGGAGGAGCACGAAGGUUAGCUAAUCCUGGUCGGACAUCAGGAGGUUAGUGCAAUGGCAUAAGCUAGCUUGACUGCGAGCGUGACGGCGCGAGCAGGUGCGAAAGCAGGUCAUAGUGAUCCGGUGGUUCUGAAUGGAAGGGCCAUCGCUCAACGGAUAAAAGGUACUCCGGGGAUAACAGGCUGAUACCGCCCAAGAGUUCAUAUCGACGGCGGUGUUUGGCACCUCGAUGUCGGCUCAUCACAUCCUGGGGCUGAAGUAGGUCCCAAGGGUAUGGCUGUUCGCCAUUUAAAGUGGUACGCGAGCUGGGUUUAGAACGUCGUGAGACAGUUCGGUUCAUAUC
rnacentral:rRNA from 1 species